AUCUCUUCUCUAUACCACAGCCGCCCACCUAAAGAAUGAAAGAGAGAGAGGAGAGAGAGCUCGUGGAAGAGGGAAGGAAGAAAGAAGGAGAGAAAGAAAGAAAGCAAGAGGAAGAGGUAGUUAGGGAUUUCGAAAUUCCUAAGGGUGUGUUCAAGAGAGUGGCCAUAGUUUUUGGGACCUUGAUUUCUAUCAAGAGAGGUAAGAACAAGGGCAAGGCAGAGCAGUGAGCGCUGGAGUCUACCUUUCAAAUGUACAUGUGGACCGACCUUUUGGGAAGCCGUUUUAUUUUUGGAGAUGUUGUGUAAUUUUCCUAAACUAGGUUCACUUUACUCUUUAUAAAAUAUGUUUGUAAUUAAAUGUGAAGUAUGGCCAUACGACUUUUAAAAAGUUUUUUUAUACGGGUUUUUGAGACAUUUUGUUAAACGAAAACAUUUAUAUUUUCGCAUUAUCGAGUCUUGAAAAUCCGGAUCGUAGUGUUAAAGAUAGCUCUACUAAGAGGAGUUAUGAGGUUCAGGAAAAAGGGCAAGUUGAGCCCUAGGUACAUAGGAUCGUUCGAGGUUUUGGAACACAUUAGAAAGGCGACUUACCGAUUAGCCCUUCUGCCUGCAUUCUCUAGAGUUCAUGAUGUAUUUCAUGUGUCAACCUUAAGGAAGUACGUGAACGACCCCACUCAUGUGCUCAGUUACGAAGAACUUACAAUAGAUCCUGAGCUAAGCUAUGAGGAAAAACCGGUUGCAAUUCUGGAUCGGAAAGAAAUGAUGUUAUGAAACAAAACAAUACCUUUCGUAAAGGUGCAGUGGUGUAACAACGACAUUGAAGAGGCCACCUGGGAGACAGAAACCAAGAUGCGGGAGAUGUACCCCCAUCUGUUUUGAGUUUCAGGCAAGAAACUUUUAUAAAUUGUAGUUAUUGUAACAUCCCGUGUUUUGAACACCCGUUAGUAACCGGUUGGAACCGAUGAAGAAUUAUGUGGAAUAUUAUUUUGAUAAUUGAUAUUAAAUGAAUUGGUGAUGAUUAGUGAAUUUUA